UGCCGGAACGCCACGCCGUUGUGUACGAUUAUAUUUAACUUCAUAUUAUACUACAUUACAAUUCCGUUGUUUCAAGUAUUAGCGAAUUCUUUGCCUAAACAAACCAAGAAAUAGUGAUUGAAUGUGUUUAGCGCCAGCACAACCUUCACUUCUAGUGACGAAAAUAUUUAUCUAAAAUUUUACCAAUUUCUAGUGUCUUGUUGAUGACUCUCAACCUCAGGAUGAAUCGUCAUCUCAAAAUUUUGCAUCUAAGAAAUACGGGAAAACAAAAUACGUUUUCUUGUUUGGAUUGUUCCAAAUUUGGUUGUAAAAUUUGAAAGCUUGUCAAACGCAGAGCUUUUAAACUACGCUGUAUAUGUAUAUAAAGAUAUUGGUGUAGUUACUUGACAUCUAUCAACAAAUCAAGCAAUUUUAAAUCAAGUUUAAAUGUUACUGUCAGUUGCUUUCAAGAGAGACAGAGGAACUUCAUAAAGCCAGUAGCAAAGAAUUUUGUGACUAAGAGGAUUGGUAUCGACUCCUAUAAAGGAAGGAACAACUAAAUGGCACUGAUCUGAAGAGAUGUCCAGAUCUGACACGCUGAGAACCUGGGAGGAUGACUUGUAACCAUGAUACAGUACAACUUACCGAGCUUGUCUGUGGAAUGACCGGGUUGGGACUCCUGG